GACGAACGCUGGCGGCGUGCUUAACACAUGCAAGUCGAACGCUGAAGCUCAGCUUGCUGGGUGGAUGAGUGGCGAACGGGUGAGUAACACGUGAGUAACCUGCCCUCUUCUUUGGGAUAACGCCCGGAAACGGGUGCUAAUACUGGAUAUUCACUGAUUCUCGCAUGGGGGUUGGUGGAAAGGUUUUUUCUGGUGGGGGAUGGGCUCGCGGCCUAUCAGCUUGUUGGUGGGGUGAUGGCCUACCAAGGCUUUGACGGGUAGCCGGCCUGAGAGGGUGACCGGUCACACUGGGACUGAGAUACGGCCCAGACUCCUACGGGAGGCAGCAGUGGGGAAUAUUGCACAAUGGGCGAAAGCCUGAUGCAGCGACGCCGCGUGAGGGAUGGAGGCCUUCGGGUUGUAAACCUCUUUCGCUCAUGGUCAAGCCGCAGCUUUGGGUUGUGGUGAGGGUAGUGGGUAAAGAAGCGCCGGCUAACUACGUG
rnacentral:rRNA from 1 species